CAUCAUGUUGCAUGGCACGUGAAUAGAUGUGAAUGAGCUGGAUUUAAGAUCACUUGACUUGGAUUUGUCUUCGUUUUGUUAGUUUAACUGAUGAGCUAGCUAGAGUUUGAAGGAAGGUUACACGAAGGCCGGUAAGCAAGUACAAUAUAUACUGAUUUAAUUAUAAGUCUGUCUAUUCGUAUAAAAUCAAAAUUUUGAACGUGAUUAAAUAUUUUUUCAAGCUAAGCUAGGCUAGGGCAGUUGACCAGAGCAAAGUAUAUCUCACGUCCCAUAUAUAUAUCAAAUAAUAUCAUAUCAAAACCACUAAUUGUUUUAUGUAUAUAUGGAACAGGAUCUACGUUAUGAAACAUAAUCUAUAUAAAGUAUAGAUAUUAUAUGGUCAGAGGCACACGCGUAAUGGAG
rnacentral:lncRNA from 1 species